UACGUAGGCAGCGAGCGUUAAUCGGAAUUACUGGGCGUAAAGCGUGCGCAGGCGGUUCGCUAAGACAGAUGUGAAAUCCCCGGGCUUAACCUGGGAACUGCAUUUGUGGCUGCAUCGCUGGAGUGCGGCAGAGGGGGAUGGAAUUCCGCGUGGUAGCAGGUGAAAUGCGUAGAUAUGCGGAGGAACACCGAUGGCGAAGGCAAUCCCCUGGGCCGCACUGACGCUCAUGCACGAAAGCGUGGGGAGCAAACA
rnacentral:rRNA from 1 species